CAGGUCUGGAAAGAGAGACACGCACAAGGUCCCAGGGCUGGAGUUUCAGGUGCCUCAUGCCUCCCCAUCCCCAUCCCAACUCAGUUAUGUGGCCCAAGAUAGGGGCAGAAGAGAGGGUGGUGGAGGAGGUGGGGGGCCGGCCUGUCUGCCCGCUCUCCGUCCCGGCCCAACAGCCAGCCCUCUUCAGCCCUGUCUUUCCAGCCUUCCUCCCAGCCAGCACCCGCGGACACACCAGGCUUCUCCCAGGAGCCGCUCGCCAGCCCUUCCCCUGCAGAGCACAGGCCCGAGCCUUGGACCUGGUGCUCAGCCCAGGUCUUCGGGAACUAGCCAUGGGACUGCGGAGAAGCCCACACAGCCUUGGGUCUCUGUUUUCCUCAUCUGAAGCCCAGGAGCACAAGUGCUUACCUUCAGGUUCAGGAAUUCAAAUUUAAUUCAGUGUCCUCUGAUUUUGUUUGUGGAAUCUGGGAACUUGAACUUGAACUUGAAGGGAACCACAGUUUCUGUCCCAAGUUGUUGAGAGCGCCCCUUCUUAGCAACAGAUACAUACUAAUCCUGGCGCAGGGGCAGCCAUUUUGUAGCUGCAAAGGGACAUGCCAAAGAACCAAGCCAAUGAGAAGAUGAAGAAAGAUGAGAAGAACAUGGGCCUUCGAUGACUUCACUGCGCUGUUGAACUUCUCUGGAAUUGUGUUUCCCUGUAAGGUUACAUGAGGUAAUGCAUUUUCCUCAUUGUUUUAUUUACUUUUAAUCUGAGUGUUUGAUUAUUGCAACAAAAGCAUCCCAACUUAAACAAGUACUAGAGACUUUCUUUUUAUGUAAUCAGAACUGAAGGAGAAAAAAAUGAAAAAGGAAUACAUUUAUCAGCAGGUAAUUCAUCAUUAUUUAAGGGCAUAUCCACACACUAUGUAAAAUAACCUAUUAUACCACCCAAUAUCUCCCAUAAAAUAGGCAUUCUACAACUUGGGGCACUCUGUAGAAUUAUUAUCUCUAUUUUUUGGAUGAGAAAAAUAACAAUGGUCACAAAGUUAAAUUGCUGAAUAACCUUUAUUUACUAAAGAAACCUGAAUUUAUAUGGUACAGUUGAAGCUAGUAUUUCAGGUGAGGAAGAGCCGGGCAGUUUCUAGCCCAAGGCUUUGUUCCCUCUAGAGGCUCUCUGCCUACUUCCCUCUGACACCUCCACACUGGCCUCCGGGAUAGUCAUUCUCUACUCUCUUAGAUGCUCCUUCCCUCAGGCCCCUGACUCAGCCAACAUGGGCUGGGGCUCUUCCCAACAGCAUGAUGAAUCCUGAAUGAGACAAACACAGGAACAAUGCAGAUGGAGACGAAUUAUUCUAAAAUGUAUACGGAAAUGCAAAGGAACUGGAGUCGCUAAAAGAGUUUUGCAAAAGAAAAGAUGAAGUAAGCAUUAGUCUACCCAACUUUGCAGGUGUUAUACAGCCACAGUAAUGAACCCUGUGGGUUGUUGGUGUGAAGGACACAGAUUGGUGGGACAGAGCAGAGAACCCGGAAGAAGACCCACACCUAUGCCCAACUCCGUUUCGAUAAAGAAGCAAAAGUAACCCACUAGAGGGAGGACAACCCUUGAAACAAAAGGUGUGGAACAUUCAGACAAUCCAAACACACAAAAACGUGACCCUCGAUCUAGACCCCAUAGCCUGUAUAAAAAUUAACUCAAAAUGGAUCAUAAACUUAAAUGUGAGACAUAAAACUAUAAAACUUUUUAGAAAAACAAACGAACAUGGGAGAAGAAUCUUUGGAAUUUGGGGCUCAGCAGAGUUCUUGGCCUUGACACCAAAAGCACUCUCCGUAAGAGGAAACAUUGAUUAAAUUGGACUUCAUCAAAAUCUAAAACUUUUGCUUUGUGAAAGGCCUAGGAAAGAGGAUAGAAAAAUAAAUUGUAGGGGUGCUCGGGUGGCUCAGUGGGUUAAGCAGCUGCCUUCAUCUCAGGUCAUGAUCUCGGGGUCCUGGAUUUGAGCCCCCUGCUCAGCAGGGAGUCUGCAUCUCCUUCUCCCUCUUCCCCUCCCCCGUCGCUCAUGCUCUCUCCAUAAAUAAAUAAAAUCUUGAAAAAAAAAAAAAGACCAAUCUUGCAGAUUGGUUGUGGUGGUGGGGAGGAUAUUUGCAAAACACUUAUCUCAUAAAGGACUAUCACCUAGGGGUGGCUCAGUGGAUUAAAAGCUCUGCCUUCGGCUCAGGUUAUGAUCUCAGGGUCCUGGGAUUGAGACCCAUAUCGGGCUCUCUGCUCAGCAGGGAGCCUGCUUCCCCCCACCCCCCUGCCUGUCUCUCUGCCUGCUUCUGAUCUCUGUCCAAUAAAUAAACAAAAUAUUAAAAAAAAAAGACUAUCACCUAGAAUACAUAAAGCCCUUUCAAAACUGAGCACUAAAAAAACCCAACCCAUUAAAUUUAGUACGUGGGCAUAAGACAUGAACUGAUAUUUUACUGAAGAGAAUAUUCUUGUGGCAAAUGAACAUAUGAAGAAAAUCUUCAACAUUCUGAGCCAUACAGAAAUGCCAGUCACACACCUAUCAAAAUAGCUUUAAGGAAACACAGUGACGACCUCAACUUCCGACAGGGAUGAGAAGAACUUGGAUCGCCUCUACUUUGCAGUGGGGAUGUAACAUGGUCUAGCCACUGGGAGACAGUUUGGUGGUUUCUUCAAAAACUAAACCUGGGGGCGCCUGGGUGGCUCAGUGGAUUAAGCUGCUGCCUUCGGCUCGGGUCAUGAUCUCAGGGUCCUGGGAUCGAGUCCCGCAUCGGGCUCUCUGCUCGGCGGGGAGUCUGCUUCUCUCUCUCUCUGCCUGCCUCUCUACUUGUGAUUUCUCUCU